rnacentral:rRNA from 1 species
GAUGAACGCUAGCUACAGGCCUAACACAUGCAAGUCGAGGGGCAGCACUGAGGAAGCUUGCUUUCUCUGGUGGCGACCGGCGGAUGGGUGAGCAACGCGUAUCCAACCUGGCCUGCGCGCGGGGAUAGCCCUUGGAAAUGAGGAUUAACACCCGAUACGCCUUUUGCCCGCAUGGGCAUUUGGUGAAUCUUGCGCAGGAUGGGGAUGCGUUGGAUUAGCUUGCUGGUGAGGUAACGGCUCACCAGGGCUCCGAUCCAUAGGGGGUUCUGAGAGGAAGGUCCCCCACACUGGAACUGAGACACGGUCCAGACUCCUACGGGAGGCAGCAGUGAGGAAUAUUGGUCAAUGGGCGCGAGCCUGAACCAGCCAAGUAGCGUGAAGGAUGACUGCCCUACGGGUUGUAAACUUCUUUUGUUUGGGAAUAAAUGAUACUACGUGUAGUAUUUUGCAUGUACCUUACGAAUAAGCAUCGGCUAAUUCCGU